rnacentral:rRNA from 1 species
UGGCUCAGAACGAACGCUGGCGGCGUGCUUAACACAUGCAAGUCGAACGCGAAAGGGACUUCGGUCCUGAGUAAAGUGGCGCACGGGUGAGUAACGCGUAGAUAACCUGUCUUCAUGUCUGGAAUAAUACGCCGAAAGGGGUACUAAUACCGGAUAUUCUUGCUUUUCAUAAGUUAUGCAAGCAAAGGUGGCCUCUGCAUAUGCUACUGCAUGAAGAGGGGUCUGCGUACCAUUAGCUAGUAGGUGGGGUAAUGGCCUACCUAGGCGACGAUGGUUAGCGGGUCUGAGAGGAUGAUCCGCCACACUGGCACUGGAACACGGGCCAGACUCCUACGGGAGGCAGCAGUGAGGAAUAUUGCGCAAUGGGGGAAACCCUGACGCAGCGACGCCGCGUGAGUGAGGAAGGCCUUCGGGUCGUAAAGCUCUGUCAAGAGGAAAGAAGUGUACAAUGGCUAAUACCUGUUGUAUUUGACGGUACCUCUAAAGGAAGCACCGGCUAACUCCGUGCCAGCCGCAGC